GCGAGCAUGGCAUAAUGGUCUGAGCAUUGGACUACAACUCUGGAGGUCAGGGUUCAAUUCCCCGGCCAAGCA